rnacentral:piRNA from 1 species
UGAGGCCGUAACGCCAUGCCACAGUGUUGU